rnacentral:rRNA from 1 species
UUAGAGGAAGCAGAAGUCGUAACAAGGUUUCCAUAGGUGAACCUGCGGAAGGAUCAU